UACGGAGGGUGCAAGCGUUAUCCGGAUUUACUGGGUUUAAAGGGUGCGUAGGUGGGUCUGUAAGUCAGUGGUGAAAUCUCCGAGCUUAACUCGGAAACUGCCAUUGAUACUAUAGAUCUUGAAUUAUCUGGAGGUGAGCGGAAUAUGUCAUGUAGCGGUGAAAUGCUUAGAUAUGACAUAGAACACCAAUUGCGAAGGCAGCUCACUACGGAUUGAUUGACACUGAGGCACUGAAAGCGUGGGGAUCAAACAGG
rnacentral:rRNA from 1 species